UGGGGAAUAUUGGACAAUGGGCGCAAGCCUGAUCCAGCCAUGCCGCGUGAGUGAUGAAGGCCCUAGGGUUGUAAAGCUCUUUCGCCAGGGACGAUAAUGACGGUACCUGGAUAAGAAGCCCCGGCUAACUUCGUGCCAGCAGCCGCGGUAAUACGAAGGGGGCUAGCGUUGUUCGGAAUCACUGGGCGUAAAGCGCACGUAGGCGGAUCUUUAAGUCAGGGGUGAAAUCCCGAGGCUCAACCUCGGAACUGCCUUUGAUACUGGAGGUCCCGAGUCCGGGAGAGGUGAGUGGAACUGCGAGUGUAGAGGUGAAAUUCGUAGAUAUUCGCAAGAACACCAGUGGCGAAGGCGGCUCACUGGCCCGGUACUGACGCUGAGGUGCGAAAAGCGUGGGGAGCAAAACAGGAUUAGAUACCCUGGUAGUCCACGCCGUAAACUAUGGAUGCUAGCCGUUGGGCAGCUUGCUGUUCAGUGGCGCAGCUAACGCUUUAAGCAUCCCGCCUGGGGAGUACGGUCGCAAGAUUAAAACUCAAAUGAAUUGACGGGGUC
rnacentral:rRNA from 1 species